rnacentral:rRNA from 1 species
UCGGGAAUUUUGGGCAAUGGGCGAAAGCCUGACCCAGCAACGCCGCGUGAAGGAUGAAGUAUUUCGGUAUGUAAACUUCGAAAGAAUAGGAAGAAUAAAUGACGGUACUAUUUAUAAGGUCCGGCUAACUCUGUGCCAGCAGCCGCGGUAAGACAGAGGGUGCAAGCGUUGUUCGGAAUCAUUGGGCGUAAAGAGUUGCGUAGGCGGUUAGUAAAGUGAAUAGUGAAACCUGGUGGCUCAACCAUACAGACUAUUAUUCAAACUCACUAACUCGAGAAUGGUAGAGGUAACUGGAAUUUCUUGUGUAGGAGUGAAAUCCGUAGAUAUAAGAAGGAACACCAAUGGCGUAGGCAGGUUACUGGACCAUUUCUGACGCUGAGGCACGAAAGCGUGGGGAGCGAACCGGAUUAGAUACCCCGGUAGUCCCUGAGCGGGCUGGCAAGGCGCAU